UACGGAGGAUGCGAGCGUUAUCCGGAUUUAUUGGGUUUAAAGGGUGCGUAGGCGGUUUUUUAAGUUAGUGGUUAGACGUCGGGGCUUCACCUUGAUUUGCCAUUAAUACUGUAAGACUCGAGUUCAGACGAGGUAGGCGGAAUAAGUUAAGUAGCGGUGAAAUGCUUAGAUAUAACUUAGAACUCCGAUAGCGAAGGCAGCUUACCAGACUGCGACUGACGCUGAAGCACGAGAGCGUGGGUAGCGAACAGG
rnacentral:rRNA from 1 species